rnacentral:rRNA from 1 species
UACGUAGGGUGCGAGCGUUGUCCGGAAUUAUUGGGCGUAAAGAGCUCGUAGGCGGUUUGUCACGUCUGCUGUGAAAUCCCGAGGCUCAACCUCGGGCCUGCAGUGGGUACGGGCAGACUGGAGUGCGGUAGGGGAGAAUGGAAUUCCUGGUGUAGCGGUGGAGUGCGCAGAUAUCAGGAGGAACACCGAUGGCGAAGGCAGUUCUCUGGGCCGUAACUGACGCUGAGGAGCGAAAGCGUGGGGAGCGAACAGG